rnacentral:lncRNA from 1 species
UCAGAGUCAUGAGAAUAUAUUCCAACUGUGUUGAAAAGCUAAGUUUGGGGUAAAAACCCCAAAAGCUCUCAAAGCCCUAGAAAGUGCAAAAACAAGAGAAAAAGAAAAAGUGAUGAAUCGAGAAAAAGAAAGAAAAAUAAAAAUCAAAUACUCGAUGAUUCAAAAGAAAGAAGCACGGAAAAGGAUAGUCGGUAAAAAUUCAAGAAAUAAGAAAAGAAAACCGAGGAAAUAAAAGAAACCAACACAGGAUAUAACAUCGACUCUGAGCCAAAAGCCC